rnacentral:snoRNA from 1 species
AAGCAAUGCUCUGUGGCAGAUCAAAACUGUCUGACACAAUUUGAGCUUGUUAUAGCAACAAAGUCUAACCUAUUCCAGUGUUCUCUCCUCUACAAGACUUUCCAUUAUAUAGACUUAGUGUAA